UACGGAGGGGGCAAGCGUUGUUCGGAAUUACUGGGCGUAAAGCGCGCGUAGGCGGUUUUUCUAGUCAGGUGUGAAAGCCCUGGGCUCAACCCGGGAAUUGCGCUUGAUACUGGAUGACUAGAGGCCGGGAGAGGGUAGUGGAAUUCCCAGUGUAGAGGUGAAAUUCGUAGAUAUUGGGAAGAACACCAGUGGCGAAGGCGGCUACCUGGACCGGUACUGACGCUAAGGCGCGAAAGCGUGGGGAGCAAACAGG
rnacentral:rRNA from 1 species